rnacentral:rRNA from 1 species
UAGUCCACGCCGUAAACGAUGUCUACUAGCUGUCUGUGACCUUGAGUCGUGGGUAGCGCAGCUAACGCAAUAAGUAGACCGCCUGGGGAGUACGGCCGCAAGGUUAAAACUCAAAUGAAUUGACGGGGGCCCGCACAAGCGGUGGAGCAUGUGGUUUAAUUCGAUGCAAUGCGAAGAACCUUACCAUCCCUUGACAUCCAGAGAAGCGACUAGAGAUAGCCGUGUGCCUUCGGGAGCUCUGAGACAGGUGCUGCAUGGCUGUCGUCAGCUCGUGUUGUGAAAUGUUGGGUUAAGUCCCGCAACGAGCGCAACCCUUAUCCUUAUUUGCCAGCACUUCGGGUGGGAACUCUAAGGAGACUGCCGGUGACAAACCGGAGGAAGGUGGGGACGACGUCAAGUCAUCAUGGCCCUUACGGGAUGGGCUACACACGUGCUACAAUGGCGUAUACAAAGGGCAGCGAGGCCGCGAGGUGGAGCGAAUCCCAUAAAGUACGUCGUAGUCCGGAUUG